CAAAAAUAAAGUGAACUCUAUAGAAGCAUGUGAACUUUUUACAAGUUUACAAGAGAAAAACUAAUUCUGUUAUGUACAGGUAUAAACUAAAUUUCUAAACAGGAAUUUUUAGGAACAGGAACUUCCAGACAUACGGCGUGACACAGAAGGUUUCUGUCCAAUGUCAGGACAAUCCUUAUGGAUUUAACGGUGUGAUUGUGUUUGAAGAUGAAACCUAUGGCAUGAGCCAAGGACGUGGAAAUGGCUUUAGUGCUGGAGUUAUUAUUGAAGACCAUUGGAAUCAUGCUUGGCCAUCUCGUCAAAUGCUGCUAGUGAGUGUUGCAGUUACUGUUAUAUCGGCCCCAAUGAACGACCCACCCAGCUAGGAGGUUGUCACAUGGACCCAUCCUUUUACUGAUGGUUACAUCUUGCAACCCAUUAUGGAUGGAGAGGGAAGGGGUCUCAGCUUUGGCAUAGAGAUCAACAACCCGAGGACGAGAAGAAUUGACAUCUGAAGGAAAAGAAAAAAGCUGGAAGCAGGAAGAGGAAAAGAUCCCGUCAUGCUAGACAUUAGAAGAGAUAAAGAAGAAUUGACCUAGGUCAAACGUUUAUAAAAUGGGUAUACGGUAGGGAUGUCACAAUACUCAAUAUAAUAUCGAACCGUUCGGUACGACAUCCACGGUUCAAUGCGUGCUUGUGAAUUGCAGUUUUUCGGUUUUGCAUUUAAAUAACGUCCUUGUUUUAUUUUUUCGGGGAAUUUGCUGUAUGUGUGCCCGCGAUUUCACGUGCUGAAAUGAGGAAACGCUUCCCCGCUUAUAUUUGA